rnacentral:misc_RNA from 1 species
GAGCAUGCCAACUUUGAAAGUUUCUGACUCCACGGAACGCCUAUAUAGGAACCUCAUGGCUUUCGAGCAAUGUCACUACCCAAAAGAAGCUUACAUCUGCAACUACAUUAGAUUCAUCGAUGAACUGAUCAACACUGAAGAUGACGUGGAAUUGCUCAUUGAGAAGGGUGUUCUUGUUAAUAGCCUUGGCAAUAAUGAAAAGGUGUCCAACCUUUUCAAUGAUCUGAAUAAUGGAAUCGUAAGAGCAAAUUUCUGUUACGAAACAAUUUUUCAACGGCUGAAUGAUCACUACGGGACUUGCUGGUACCGAGCCGUCGCAACCUUGAGACAUGCAUACUUCACCAAUUUUUGGAGAGGUAGCGGAACGGUAUUCGCAUUCAUACUCCUCAUCCUCACUUUGAUACAGUCCAUACGUUCCCUCAUGGAAAUAUUUUAGUUUCAGAGUUUGUGUAAUUUUUCUAAGUGCCCCCCUACGUUUGGAUUGCUUUUUUU